rnacentral:rRNA from 1 species
AGCGCGGGCGGUUUCUUAAGUCUGAUGUGAAAGCCUUCGGCUCAACCGAAGAAGUGCAUCGGAAACUGGGAAACUUGAGUGCAGAAGAGGACAGUGGAACUCCAUGUGUAGCGGUGAAAUGCGUAGAUAUAUGGAAGAACACCAGUGGCGAAGGCGGCUGUCUGGUCUGUAACUGACGCUGAGGCUCGAAAGCAUGGGUAGCAAACA